AGAGUUUGAUCCUGGCUCAGGACGAACGCUGGCGGCGUGCCUAAUACAUGCAAGUAGAACGCUGAAGAGAGGAGCUUGCUCUUCUUGGAUGAGUUGCGAACGGGUGAGUAACGCGUAGGUAACCUGCCUGGUAGCGGGGGAUAACUAUUGGAAACGAUAGCUAAUACCGCAUGAAAUUGCUUAUCGCAUGAUAAUUAAUUGAAAGAUGCAAUUGCAUCACUACCAGAUGGACCUGCGUUGUAUUAGCUAGUUGGUGAGGUAACGGCUCACCAAGGCGACGAUACAUAGCCGACCUGAGAGGGUGAUCGGCCACACUGGGACUGAGACACGGCCCAGACUCCUACGGGAGGCAGCAGUAGGGAAUCUUCGGCAAUGGGGGGAACCCUGACCGAGCAACGCCGCGUGAGUGAAGAAGGUUUUCGGAUCGUAAAGCUCUGUUGUAAGAGAAGAACGGGUGUGAGAGUGGAAAGUUCACACUGUGACGGUAUCUUACCAGAAAGGGACGGCUAACUACGUGCCAGCAGCCGCGGU
rnacentral:rRNA from 1 species